ensembl:ncRNA F15D3.10 ncRNA
AAGCCUAAGCCUACGCCUAAACCUAAGCCUAAGCCAAAGCCUAAGCCUAGGCCUAAGCCUAAGCCUAAGCCUAAA